AGCAUUUGACAGUGUGUGCACAGGGGAAUUAAGUGAUUUUCCCUGCCUCUGUGGACUGAGAUGGGGCCAAAAGAGGGAGACUGUUUUCCCUUUGCUUGCAGUGUUCUUUCCAAAGUGAAUAAAGAAGGUUCCUCAUUUAAUUGCUGACUGGAAAUUGACUGAAACUGGGAGUGGAAGCCAAACUGUUUGGUCCAGAGAUGGUACAGAUUCUUGGGUACAGAGAUGGGGCAAGCAGGGUCACCUGCUAUUUUCAGUGGCGCCAUGGAUUUCUGGAAGAGGAUUGAAACUGGGAGACUAAAGAAGCAUAGACAAGACUAUAUGGAGGAGCUGGAUUUCAAGGCGGGACUUUCAGCUGGGACCAGUGUGAUCAUCAAUGAUAGAAAAAGGAAAAAUUGCAGAUGACUCUUACAAAAGGUAUAGUAUUUCUGUUCAGUUACCAAAGGCUUCGACAUAAUUUAUGUUCAAAAAUAGAUUCUGUAUUAAAGUCCUUUACUUUUAAAAUGAUCUACAUUUUGAUACCACCAUAGAUUCUAAUUGCUACUUUCACAAAAUACAUGCAGAAGGCUAAAUUUACGAGGUGCUGCAGUACCUAAUUCUUAGUUGCCUGUCACUCAGAAAGGCACCUAGAGAACUGACAUAAGUGUGUAGGUUCUGUCUGAAAUAUAUGAGAUGAUUUAGGCAGUGGAACAGGCCAGAAAAACCUAAAGCAAUGACAAGACCUUUAGAGCUAACAUGCUGGGAACACUAAUUCCUGGCAUUUAUCUGAAACCUUGCUCCUUUUUGGAGUUAGUGUGCUUGAAUUGGGACAUCUAGCAGAUAGAUACCCUGCUCGCUGGGGAGCCAGGACCUGGAAUCCUUGAAGAAAUUUUCUGUACCUGUUCCUUCUGAGAAUUUGAGCAGGACUUACUCUUUAUUGUUUGAGUCUUGUUGAGUUCUUUUUUGAGCAGGACUUACUCUUUAUUGUUUGAGUCUUGUUGAGUUCUUUUUUAAGUGUACCUAGGCAGAGAAAAGGAUGUGGAGGUAGAAAGGAGGCUACUUUUUCGCCCUUUUUAACAGGCUAGACCUCAAUGCUUGCUUCAGCUCUUAGGUUGGCAUCCUAAGCACCAUAAUAUCAUUGAAGCUUGACAGAUGAAUUUCUCCCUCUUUCUGUUGCAUCUGGCCCUCUGCAUAUGAAAAAAACAAAGAGAGAGAGAAAAGAAAGGAGAUGAAACAAGACCUUGCGAUC
rnacentral:lncRNA from 1 species